CCAAUCCCUCUGGGCUUUCUUUUGCUUUAAUUUGCAUAAACACAGACAUCAUAUGAAUAUUCAGUGAGCGGCUUCACAUUAAGCAAGUGCCCUUAAUCAGCUCUUCAGUUCAGUUUUAUUGGUUGCCCACACAGUCGGCUAUUUCAUCCAGAAAAUCUGAGGGCCCUGCAAAGCUAACCAGGUAACCCGGAGUAAUGUGAUGCAGAACAUGGGAGGCUGAUGUGUUUUCUACCAUGUAGUCACCGCCAAUGAGAGGAUACUGAAUACAGAAUGUGAUUUAACUGCUGGUUAAAUCCCAAGAACCUGGUGCCAGCUAAAACCUGGGGGAAUGGAGAGAAAAGCAAUAAUGCCUGGGAUGGUUUGGUUCUUAGUUUCCUUAUCUGGUGAUCGUGAUGGUUAGAGCUGUACUUCACUGCUGUCUUCAUCACUAAACUCCUCAUUGCACCCAUGGCUGUUCUGCGGGACAAGGAACCAUUGCCCUCUCGUGCCCAUUUUCCUGUGAAAAAAAAGGUGGAGAAGGAGGGCUGGGCUAAUCUAAACUGCCCACUGUUUUUUGUUGCCCACUGCUUUUUGUCCCUUUGGGAGUUAUCCAGAUAAGAAAAUACCUCUCAUGAGUCUGUCCCAGUUCUCCAAUGAUCAGAGGAAUAAACAGUGAACCAGACAUUGGGCUGAAUUCUGGGGCGCAAAGAUUGAAAAGAGGGGUGGUUUCAGAUGGUCUGGAGCACCCAAGCUGAUUUCCUGUGCAUUGUCUCCUGUGAGGAGGGGGUCCUAAAAUCAGUGAUAGAUUAAUUUUCUCUUUACCCUUCUGAUUUCACUUUCUGGACCCUUUCAUGGUCUCCCCCAUGCCAAAUAAACCACCUCUGUGCUGAGAACUGCUACCCUGAACCACAGAAUCGCCAUGGUUAGAAGGGACCU